AAAAGUCAAAUAUGAUAGGCAUGAUGCAGCUGAUAAAUUUAGCACAUAAACGAUAUUGCCACCAUAUGAAGAUAAAGAAUGUUUUGAUAAUUGGAGGGGGUUUAAUGGGUUCUGGUAUUGCUCAGGUUAAUGCUAUAGCUGGUUAUAAUGUUACUUUGGUUGAUCAAAAUAAAAAUAUUCUUGAUACUUCCAAAGAGAGAGUAUUAAAGAACAUAUCAAAAUUAGCUUUAAAGAAAUAUACUGGAGAUAGUGUUAAAGCGAAUAUAUUCUGUAAAGAAAAAAUGGAGUAUUUAACAUUUAUUGAAUCUCAUGAUCAAGCUGCAAAAAAAAGUGAUCUAAUAAUUGAAGCGAUUGUUGAAAAUAUAGAGAACAAACAAAAAUUGUUUGCAAAUUUGGAUCAACUUGCUCCAAAACAAACAAUAUUUACAUCUAACACAUCUUCCUUACCAAUCAAGGAUAUAGCAAGGGUUACAAAUAGAGAAGAAAAUUUUGCUGGACUUCAUUUUUUUAAUCCUGUGCCUAUUAUGAAAUUAGUUGAAAUUAUUUAUUUGGAUUCCACAUCUAAAGAAACAAUAAAAACGUUAACAGAUUAUGUAAAAAGUCUUGAUAAACAUUCAGUUAGAUGUAAAGAUACUCCUGGAUUCAUUGUUAAUCAUCUUUUAAUUCCUUACCUUAUACAAGCUGUACAAAUGUAUGAAAGAGGUGAUGCAAGUAAAGAAGAUAUUGAUUCUGCAAUGAAAUUAGGUGCAGGUUAUCCCAUGGGGCCUUUUGAAUUGCUUGAUUUUAUUGGACUGGACACGACAAAAUUUAUUUUGGAUGAGAGAAAUAUCACCCAAGAAGUCGAAAAUCUAUAUCUAGAGUUAGACAUUUUUUAAAAAACGAUUAAAUAGAUAUUUUAGCCAAAAUAUUACCUAAGCCUGGAGAUUAUAUAGAUGGCAAAGAGGUUCAGCCCUCUUUUGACCAAAUCUUGAGGCCUAGACAAUAUAAUUUUGGUAUUGAUUUAUCCAGUUUUAAAUAAGCCUCCUCGAUCUAAUACUACAUCGGCCUAGAAUUGGAGUGCUCCACUUGGCAAAUGUUUGAAAUGAGAAAAUCAACAUUAAAGUUUAAAAUCAAGUAUAAGAAAACCUUAUUGAUCAAUUUUGACAAAGCUAUAAAUUUUGCAAAAAUAUUAUUUUUUUUAAUCUAGUUUAUAUUUUUAUAAAUAUUGGGAAUAAAUAAGUUACUAUCGAUUUCUAACUCAAGAAAAUGUAGAGUAGAGCACUCCAAUUCUAGACCGACGACAAGUUGAAGCACUUUAAUUUCACAUUAAAUUUUAAACAAAAGAAAAUAAUUUUAAUUUUGAAAUCUUCAUUUUUAAAAUAAAUAUGUUAAUUGAUGUAUUUUUUAAAUAAAGAACUGGCUAUUUUAAGAAAACCACCAGAUUCAAAUAGAAAAGAUCCGGGCUCGAUCUGAUAUCAGAUCAUCUGGUUUUAUCAUAACUAGAUUUCAUAAAAUCGAAUAUUCGAUUUCGAAUGCAUAAAAUAUAUAGAAUUUCUACAGUCAAAUCUGUAUUUUUCCAGAAGGAAGAGGAUCCUUCCAUGGCUACAUAUAUGUUUAAACCAGGGGCAUGAGAACGUUUCGGACGUUCAUGGAACGGAACUUGGAUAUAAUUUUGGAACUUGAAAAGAACGGGGGGAACAUUCCGAAAAAUAAUAUUAAAAAUUCAAUUUAUUAAGAGUUAUCAUAAAUAUUCGUUUUUUUUCAGUUUUUUUCUUGUAACAAUAUAUUCCUAUUAUUUAGUAUUAUGUGAUUUGAAUCAAAAUUAUGAAAAUAAAUUUAAAAUCAUAUUUGAAAUAAUUAUGCGUUUUGUUAUAAAAUUAAUAAUAAAAAUUUUAUAUUUUAAUGGGUA